CCAGCAUGUCAGUUUCAUGUUGAUAAAACAACAUAAUCACUCUGUCCUUCUCCUUCCUUUGUGAGCAACUGGUAGGUGAGGUGUUCGGUAGGGGCCAGGAGGAAAGAAAGAGUUUAACAUCAGUUGUUCCACCUCUGUCUGAAGAUUUCAAGGAAAUCAAGUUAGUAUUUCUGAUUUGCUCAUUGAUUCUAAAUAGCUCAGCAUUUUCAAGCAAUUUUAUAUCACUUGUAAAGUCAAGAAAAUCUGUUCUUUACAGAAUUUGGAUGGGCUUGUAUGUUUAGCUUCUAAUUAGAGCUACAGAUUUAAUUUCAAUCACAUUCUGGUAUUGAUUAUUUUCUACAGAGAAUGAAGAGGUACUACUUCUUCCUGAGGAGUACCUCAGGAAGGAAAAGGAUUACUUCUGUUCUGCAGCUGUGCCAAAGUGUACUGUAGAAUUUUUAAUGUUUAAAUGAAAAAUAAUGGUUCCUUCCUGAGAUUCCUUAAUCCGCUUGAAAGGUGGGAAGGUUCCCCUUCAGAUUUAUCUGAGACUGUCAAUGAUGUUGUAGCACUGGGUUAGAACUUUUAUUAAAUACUUGUCACAGCAGCAGUUACUUGCCAAAGGACAUUAUUUAAUAUGAGUUUCCAGAGGAUUCACAGAAAUGUUAAGUCAGAAUGAUUCUGAACAAGUUAUCUAGUCUAUCAGAACCAGAGGAUAGAAUGAUCAGCUACAUUUAGAUAAUUUGAGACACAUAUAAUUUUCCUGAUCUGCAAAAACACCAACAAACCAAAUAUAGUUGUGGUUGGUGUGUUUUGUUUUGUUUUCUGUGUAGCAUAUUCCAAGGUUUACCUAUUCUCAAAAUUAACAAGUUUUCCCUAAAGUCUAACACUGAUGCAAAUAAAGCUGAGUAGAUGUCUUAAUAAGGUAGAUGC
rnacentral:lncRNA from 1 species